CUUCUCAGCAGGAACGAAACGGUACGCUCUAACAUAGCGUGCUAAUGACGGUACCUGCAGAAGAAGCACCGGCUAACUACGUGCCAGCAGCCGCGGUAAUACGUAGGGUGCGAGCGUUAAUCGGAAUUACUGGGCGUAAAGCGUGCGCAGGCGGAUUGUUAAGCAAGACGUGAAAUCCCCGGGCUUAACCUGGGAAUGGCGUUUUGAACUGGCAGUCUAGAGUGUGUCAGAGGGGGGUAGAAUUCCACGUGUAGCAGUGAAAUGCGUAGAGAUGUGGAGGAAUACCGAUGGCGAAGGCAGCCCCCUGGGAUAACACUGACGCUCAUGUACGAAAGCGUGGGUAGCAAACAGGAUUAGAUACCCUGGUAGUCCACGCCCUAAACGAUGUCAACUGGUUGUUGGGGGAGUGAAAUCCCUUAGUAACGAAGCCAACGCGUGAAGUUGACCGCCUGGGGAGUACGGUCGCAAGAUUAAAACUCAAAGGAAUUGACGGGGACCCGCACAAGCGGUGGAUGAUGUGGAUUAAUUCGAUGCAACGCGAAAAACCUUACCUACCCUUGACAUGUCCAGAAUCCUGCAGAGAUACGGGAGUGCCCGAAAGGGAAUUGGAACACAGGUGCUGCAUGGCUGUCGUCAGCUCGUGUCGUGAGAUGUUGGGUUAAGUCCCGCAACGAGCGCAACCCUUAUCAUUAGUUGCUACGCAAGGGCACUCUAAUGAGACUGCCGGUGACAAACCGGAGGAAGGUGGGGAUGACGUCAAGUCCUCAUGGCCCUUAUGGGUAGGGCUUCACACGUCAUACAAUGGUCGGUACAGAGGGUUGCCAAGCCGCGAGGUGGAGCCAUCCCAGAAAGCGAUCGUAGUCCGGAUUGUCUCUGCACUCGAGAGCAUGAGUCGGAUCGCU
rnacentral:rRNA from 1 species